rnacentral:lncRNA from 1 species
CUGUAAAUAAGACUACUAGUUUACUUUGCAGAAUGCAAAGAGGUAAAGCUGCUUACCUUCUCUUAUCAGUAACUGCCAGAGUUGCUAGCCUUUGCUUACCAGUAAUAUCCAGAAUAAGCAGCUCAAGUUAAUUCCAUCCUGGCUCCUGUGACUGGUAAUAAGUAACUAAAGAUCUGUGAAUUCUAAUACUGCCCAGACAAUGUAUAAACUAAUGUUUAUUUUCACUUCUGUAAACCACUUAAGUAACAAUCAGAAUGACAAAAGUCCCCUGGCCCUUGGAAUGUCCAGAGCCCACCCCCAUCAUCCUCAUCUCGGCCCAGGAGGUGAUUUACAGAAUCCACCAACCCUCAAAAUGACUGAGGCCUUCCAUCCCCAUCGCCGCCCCUCACCCCCACUCCCAAGGUGGUUUUAUGGGUAUAAAAAGGUCUUGUCAUGCUUUCUCUGCCACAGGUUGGAGAGACGUGAGUCCUCCAUGGUCGCUGGCAAUAAACCCUGCAAUUUGGCAUACUUUUGUCUUGGUGUUGACUUUCUAUGCUCAGUCCAGUAUAACAUUUGGAGGCCCCAGCAAGAUGUUCUAUUUUUCAUCACAGACAAAAGCCAUCUCAGAGUCUCGCCCAGGUGGCCACUCCCACCUCGGAAGCCUCUAGGGGAGGCACCCCCUGAGUUGCCCCAGGGCCCCAGAGAGUCACUGUGGAGGAUAAGCAACCGCCCAGCCGACGUUCACCCAAAAUUCUUCACGGUACUAAAAGGCCUCUGGAAUCCUUACAGGCACUCCAGUCUGUUCAGUCCCAGGUUCACCCGCUCAUCAGGGGAACUCGACCUACCCUAGUGGACCUCACUGACCAGCCAUACACCCCUUCCAGCCAGGGGACAAGAUCCUGGUAAAGAGAUUCACCGCCUCCAACCUGACUCCUCGCUGGAAGGGAACCUACACCGUGAUCCUGGUCACCCUUACGGCCAUCAAGAUGGACGGACUAACUGCCUGGAUUCUCCACUCACAUGUCAAGACUUCCCCCCUGGACGUACAAUGAAGAGUGACCUCAACUUCAGCAGACCACCUAAAGCUAAGACUCUCACGCUCCUUGCUGUAACCCUCCUUGUCCCCCUAAUUCCUGGUGUAGCCCCUUGGAAGGGACCCCCCUUGACACCCACCUAUUACCGGUGGGUCCUUACUAAAGGAUCCACUCGAUCUGUAACUGGAAUGUUCUGUAACUGGAAAGGGAUCCACCCUUGUCAACUUAACCCUAGAGUACAUUACCAGAGAUCCCAUCUGCACUCUCUUAAGCAAGAGCCUAGAUGUAAAUACUAUAGGACAAAUGAAGACAAGAAGAUGGGGUGGGGAAAUGUGAUGAAAGCAAAGGAGAUAGGGUGUGGGAACGUAGAAGCUGAAGAAAAACAUCUUCAGGCUGUGGGGCAAUGUCUAUGCCCAGGAUCUACCCCACAAAGGAGAUAAAAUUGUGGAAACUUAGAGGAGUUCUUCUGCCCCCAUUGGGGCUAUGAGACUAUCUCCACUAGAUUGGGAUAUACUGCAAACAGGGACUCUUUUAUUUCUUUCACCCGAGACUCUUCCCCAAACCCCUGCUAUACCAGUUCUUGUAACCCACUCAAAAUAACAGUCCUGUAUCCAAAUAGGAGAUGGGAUACAGGGAGUAUCUGGGGUCUCUGAGUAUAUACAAGUGGAUGGGACAAUGAAAACAUCUUUACCAUCCGGUGUAUACAAAAUAGGAGAGGAUUAGACCUGUUGUUCUUAAAGAAAGGAGGGCUGUACGCCGCACUCAGCAAACAAUGUGGCUUCUACACAAACAAAUCCGGGCUCAUUCGGGACAGCCUUACAAUGGUUAGGCAGAACUUAGAAACAAAGAAAACACCUCAGAGAGGCCUCAGGAAGUUGGUACCAAACCUUUCUCUUGGUCCCCCUGGCUAACAUCCCUACUCACUGAAUUAGCAGGACCCUUAGUCCUAAUGGUCCUAGGACUAUUUGGACCAUGCCUUUUAAGCAUGCUCCUCAAAUUUAUCCAGGAUAGAAUCAGUCAAGUUAAUGGUUCUGAGAUCCAACUAUGGGCCCUUGUGCCAAGAAAUAGAAACCUAUUAAAGAUUUAAUAAAUGUUAAAAGAACAGGGGGGAAUGUGCUAUAGCUGGAACCUGAGCAACACCAUUUUAUAAAAGACAAAAGCUGUUUUCCAAAAAUAAGUUACCCCAUUCUCCUCGCAAUAACUGCAGGCCUUGCUUUCUGUAAAUAAGACUGCUAGUUUACUUUGCAGGAUGCAAAGAGGUAAAGCUGCUUACCUUCUCUUAUCAGUAACUGCCAGAGUUGCUAGCCUUUGCUUACUGGUGAUAACCAGAAUAAGCAGCCCAAGUUAAUUCCAUCCUGGCUCCUGCGACUCGUAAUAAGUAACUAAAGAUCUGUGGAUUCUAAUACUGCCCAGACAAUGUAUAAACUAAUGUUUAUCUUGACUUCUGUAAACCACUUAACUAACAAUAGGAAUGUCCAGAGUCCCCUGGCCCUUGGAAUGUCCGGAGUCCCCCCCCCCCAUCACCCUCAUCUCAGCCCAGGAGGUGAUUUACAGAAUCUACUAGCCCUCAAAAUGUCUGAAGCCUUUCAUCCCCAUCCCCACUCCUCACCCCCACUCCCAAGGUGGUUUUAUGGGUAUAAAAAACUCUUGUCACCCUUCUUUCUCUGCCACGGGUUGGAGAGAUGUGAGUCCUCCGUGGUCGCUGGCAAUAAACCCUGCAAUUUGGCAUACUUUCGUCUUGGUGUUGACUUUCUAUGCUCAGUCCAGUAUAACAUAUAGACUUUCUAACUCAACAUUUGGAAUUAAAGCUCUACCGCUAGGUAGAACCACCCUUUCCUCCUUCCUUCCUUCCCUCCUUCCUUCCUUCCCUUCCUUCCCUUCUUCCUUCCUUCCCUUUCUUCCCUUCCUUCCUUCUUUCCUCUUGCUUUCUUGCUUUCUUGUUCUCUCUUUCUCUGUCUGUCUCUCUCUUUUUUUUUUUUGAGACUGAGUCUUACUCUGCUGUCAAGGCUGUAAUUCAGUGGUGUGAUCUCGGCUCAUCACAACCUCCACCUCCUGGGUUUAAGCAAUUCUUCUGCCUCAGCCUCCACAGAAGCUGGGACUACAGGCAUACACCACCAUGCCCAGUUAAUUUUUUUGUGUUUCUGUAUUUUUAAUAGAGAUGAGGUUUCACUGUUUUGGCCAGGCUGGUCUUGAACUUAUGACCUUGUGAUCCCCCUUCCUUGGUCUCCCAAAGUGCUGGAAUUACAAGCAUAAGCCACCAUGUCUGGCCUUAUUUGUUAUUUCCUAGAGAUUUUGC